AGGGGAUUAGUAUAUUGGUAUUACAAUUGCCUCCAAAGCUAGAGAAGAGGGUUCAAUUCCUUCAUCCCCUGCCA
rnacentral:tRNA from 2 species